rnacentral:snRNA from 1 species
AGCUUGCUGCAGCAAGAUGUGUUCCAAAACUGGAAUGAUCAACAAGAAGACCAAUAAGGCCCCCGGAGAAGGAUGACAUACAAAUUCAUCAAGCGUUCUGUAUUUUU